AAGUCACGGUCAUAGCUGUGAGAUGCAUGGCUUCUUAAAGCAGUUAAAGUUAUUAAUUUAGAAAGUCAAGUUUACUGCACUCACAGUUUUUUAUGAUUUUAAUGGAUAAAAACUCAAGUCCUAAAUAUAUACUUUGGAUGUAUGAAAUACAGUGCAUCAUGAAUAAACACAAUACGUUCAUGACUGAAAUUUUUAUUUCACUUUUCCUUUGUAAAGUCUGAAUCUAGCAACACAGGUAAAUCUGAUGACGUGACGACUUCAGCGACAUUUAAAGUAUUAGCGAUCUACUUUAUUUGGUGACCAAUGCGCUUCAGCUUGUGGUCUUCAUCAGGGUCAUAAAGUCGGAAUCUAGACAGAUUUUUUUGGCCUUCUCUGAUUGGAUUAAACCUGCCAGGCCCUGGAGUAACAGUUUAUGUUUGAGCGAAGAACAAAAUGAACAUGUAUAUGUAAAAGAAGUGAGCAGCUGAGCAGAAAGCCCUCUGCUGUCAUGCAUCACAUCAUAUCCUCUGCAGAAGACAGGUAAGUGCUCUCUGCUGGAGCAAUCACAUCUAGUGGGCACACCUGUGUGAGGCUGCCUCUGUGUGUGUGUGUGUGUGUGUGUGUCCCUCACACUUGUAUGGGGGAGGGGGGUUGACCUGUUGGGUACCUCAGUUCAACUUCUCAUUAAAGAAACCUGAUUGGAAACACCUGCAGUAGGAAGGACCUAUAAAGACAACAGCAUGUCCUGAACUCUUGACUCAGAAGCACACUGGUGUUUGGUUGGAGUAGCUGGUGUGUGGGGACUUGUGGAUGUGUGAGUGCUUUGCAUGCACAGUCCAGCUGGAGGGUUUGUGAGGACACAGCAAGUGCAGCUGCAGCAGUCAUGGCUGCGUGGUUCCUAAUUGCAAGGUUUUUACUGCUUUAUGUUUUGAGUGAUGUAGACUACUCCUCAGCUUUUCCAAGAGCCACAAGUCCUGUGCAGCCUAGAGUAUGGCAGGGUGGAAGAGGGGAACACGAUGUGUAUGGAAACCCUCGUCCUUUCCAGUACAUGAGGGCUCUGAGGCCGACGGAUCCAAAGAUCUACCCUAAUGUGCGUGAUCGGGUCCAAGUCGAAUCCCCGAGAUCGUAUCAGCCACGCUCUAAUAUUCCCACCCACAGAUCCAUGGAAACAUCUCCGCUCCAGCCUCGAGCACACAGAAACCACCUUGUGGCCAAGCCCAGGAGCUUUGACUUAGCCCUGAGGAUCCCUUUUGCUCAUUCUCGUGAUGGUGCUAAUCCUCCUCGGUACGGACCGAGUGGCCUUAUUAUUGACAACAGUUUUAAUAAUCCCCGCAGACAGCAUGGCCAUGAUGCUUCCAAGCUGGGCUACCAGUUCAGCUUAUCUGUUCCCUUUUCACGUGGUUCUCCACGCCACCCAGGUGGCCACAAACAUCACGGUGGACAUCAACACAGGCCUGAGGAAGACUAUUUGGGUCAUCAAAGAGGGCCGGUUCAUGUGCCAGUUCGUCCAAGGCCAUACCCCGACGAGCAUCAUCGUGAGCAUGAUCGCGAGCAUCGUGAUGAAGGCCGCCCUGGGCGGGAGUUUGCAUUUCCAGAGCCAGAUGGACCAGAACACCCAUCAUGGCUGCGCCAUCCUCAAAGAUAUGUCGACCCUUACAGUGGAUACUACAACUCCCAGAUGAAGCCUACGUGGAAUGACUACUGGUGGCAUUACCGUGGACCUCACUGGGGUCAUGUAAAGCAUCCAUCUUCUGACCCUUGGCCAAAUUUCCAUCGGUCAGCUUCAGACUGACAUGGAUGGAAGAGACAAGCCAAACUCGCAGGGCACAGCUUUACAGUGCAACAAGGAUGAUCUCCUGUAUUUAUCUGAAAUAAAGUGUGAAAGCUCUCCUGCAGUUUCUCUUGUCUUCUGUCAGGUUGAAAGAAUAGCUGAACACUUGGCUUGAGGUUAAUCUUUCAAGAGCUAAUCAAGAUUCAUGUGCUUGUAAGCAAGAAGCAACAAGUCUAUGCCCAAAUGUUAGAAAGCCACUGACUCUGCAGCUCAUUAAAUUUAUGGGUGAUGUGCAUUUUGAGCCAACUCUAGCCCUCACUGUCACUAGAGCUGUAGCAGAGCCAUUAAAAGUACCUGAGACUUUAGAAUGAAUCAGUAGUUCCAUCCUUCAAUAGUUGCUUGCAUACAAACUUGAAAUAAUUUUGGAACUUUGAAUGCCUGUGAUUGCUUUUCAUUAAUCCAGUGAAUCAUUGUGGCUGAAGUAUAAAAUGGUUAAAGUAUUCUUUGCUGGCAGUGGAACUAAUGGUAGGGGAGGUGGCAGAACGUCUGUAAAGAUGUGCUUGAGUUUCAGAGGGUUUUGUUGAUAAAAGCUGGACUUCCCAGGUCUGCAAAAGUCAACAGCAAUGCUAAUUCCUUCAGUAUUCAAAUAGUUUGUUUUAAAGAUGUUGAAGCACCACAGCAUAAAGGGAAUGUGCAACUGACCAGAAAAAUGCUUUAAUGCAGCAGUGCACUGGCACAGUGAACAGUCCUCUAGGCGACAGGUAAGUGCUCUGCAAGCGCAAUCACAUCAAACAUGUGUUUGGUGGAAUUGGUGAGCACAAACUGGUUUAAAAAGAAGCAAAUGGAGUAUUUUGAUGUUGGUGCUCUUUUGUGCAGAGAGCAGCAGGUUUCUCCAAAAAUGUGAGAGAUCCACCUAGAACAUCUGAUCUCAAACACUGUUUGUUUAAAAAAAAAAAAAAAAGUGACUCUUGUGGCUAGGUGCACUGACUCAGUAGUCUGUGAUACUGCACUGUGUAAUAUUUGACUGUUGACUCCAGCCUGUAGCCCCCAGUAAAGUCAAUCUAUAAUUUAUACUUCAGUGAGUCAGAUGUUGCACUUUUUGCUAAUAUGUGUUUAUAUAUGACUAAGUUUUCCCACUAAACUUUCUUACAGUCAUAAAGUUUUUGCAAAUGAUUCUAACAAAUCUGCACUCAAAGGAGUUCCGCCCAUUUGAGGUGUCUUGCCACAACGCUAGCAUAUAAUGUGCAUGCUGUGUCGUCAUCACCACACAUAUGACGCUUCCUUCUGCACUUUGUAAUUGUUUUUGCUUCUCUUCCUUUUUGAUACAGAUGUGUAUGGAGGACCACAAGAGCCACGCGCAUCGAAAUAAAAUCGAAAUAAAAAUCUCUGUGCUUUAAUAAUGAAUUGUAGAAUAAAUUCUGCAAUUGUAAAUUCAUUUUUGAAUUCCAAUUUAAUAAACUGCAUUUCAAAAUCCUUUUUCCAAUUGCAUUUCAAAAUCCUUUUUCCAAUUGCACUUUAAUAAACUGCAUUUUAAAAUCCUUUUUUCAGUUGCACUUUAAUAAACUGCAGUUCAAAAUCCUUUUUCCACUUGCAAUUUAAUAAACUGCAGUUCAAAAUCCUUUUUCCACCUACAAUUUAAUAAACUGCAGUUCAAAAUCCUUUUUCCACCUGCAAUUUAAUAAACUGCAGUUCAAAAUCCUUUUUCCACUUGCAAUUUAAUAAACUGCAGUUCAAAAUCCUUUUUUCACUUGCAAUUUAAUAAACUGCAGGUCAAAAUCCUUUUUCCACCUGCAAUUUAAUAAACUGCAGGUCAAAAUCCUUUUUCCACCUGCAAUUUAAUAAACUGCAGGUCAAAAUCCUUUUUCCACUUGCAAUUUAAUAAACUGCAGUUCAAAAUCCAUUUCCCUUUCCUGUUCGCUCCGGGAUUAGCUGCUGGAUUAGCUCCUGGAUUAGCUGCUGGAUUAGCUCUUCGAUUAACAACUUGCUGGAGGCUAUUCAAAUUAGCCACACCGUGGGAUGUAAGGAGCUCUCUGAUUGGUUGGUCAGACACAGGCUGUCUGCCAGGCUGGAUUUUUCUAGCUCAUAGCUUCUCCCUGCUACGAAGCGUGUGUGCUUGUACAAAGGCCGUUCAGCCUCGGGAUUUACACUCGGCUCGACACAGAUAUGUGAAGAAUGAAGGGAGCCUGCAGCGAAACGGAGAGCCAACCUCUGACUGAGUGCCUGUCUACACAGUCUGACCACCUGUUGAAGGUAAGGUGCUAACGUGGCUAACGCUAGCAUCACCGCACGUAGCCCCGUUAUUUUAAGAUCGUCUUAGCUAAUGAAAGUUUUACGUCGCAGCUGUACGAGCUCGCUACGUGUUUUGUAAGCUGCUGUGCUCUUCACAAAUAAAGCUGGAAGCAGCUCAGACUGUUAGAACCAGCACUGAGGCCUGUUACAUUUAUACAGUGUUAGAGCAACGGCUGCAACCUACAGCCUUUAAACUAGCGAUUACAAUGCUGACAGUAAACUCGUCAGUCCAGAUGUUACCACAUUACUCUAUGGUACUUAGAGUUAAAACAACUGAGACAGGCUGAUUAAAAUAACAGCUGUCAGUUCUCUCAUUCCUUAUAUCAAGACUGGAGAUCACACUACUGAUUUCAGUUCAUUUAAUAUGUGAGAGCACAGAUUCAUUCUCAACUGGACAUAAAUGAUGAUCAAAGGUUGUAUAUAUGAUGAAUUCAUCAAAUCCCAGCCUCUAACACAGCGUGCUGAAUCUUAGCUUUGAAUGUCCAGUAUAUUCUAAUCAGUGCAAUUUAAGCAUUCACUGAACCUACAGUAUCUACACCUGUGUGGCAAAGAUACAGAUAAUGAAAUUUAAUUAUUAAUACAAUAUACAUCAUGAAAAAUGAAAGCUGAAAUUGAUUCAGUUUAGUACUUUUCUCUGUAUGCUCUGUGAUUAUAAAGGCCUUAAAUUCUGUGAUAUAUACUGUAAAUGAUGUUCACAGAGGUCUUAAAGUACUUAAAUCACUGCUGAUAGUCUGGUUGUUUACAUUUUCACAUGUUUUUGUGUCUGUAGGGCUGUUUGAUGACGAUUUGGACUCCUCUGGGAGAUAAGGACACACCCACAUCUGUUCCAUACUGCAGCCAUUGAUGGUGUUACAGCUCUGAGUCAGCUUUGGGCCAUCAGACGCACACACUGGAAAACCAGCACCUGGACUUCAUGCAGGAGAGAUGGCCUCAGUGAUGUAGGUUCAUAAGCGAGUUCAAACAUUUCUGGCCUCUUAUCACUUAGAUUUUGAAUGCAUUUAAAGCAGGAACUGCACACUAGGGGUGGGUUUUAAUAAUCGAUUCAUCGAUUAAAAUCGAUUCUGGCUUGGAUAACGUGAAAUCGAUUCAUUAAAAUCCUGAAUUGAUUUUUUUAAUAUAAAUAAAAAUUUGCCCGAAACGCCAGAAUCUCGAGUGAAACCUCACAAAAUUUCAACAACCACCAAACAGCUAAGACAGUAAAUGAGAGCAGGUACACGGAUUCUGCACAAGGACGUAAACACACAGCGCGGACCCGCGGAUCAGAAUCAGUGAGAUGUCGCCUUUCUCACCCGACGGGCGCUGCAGCUUUAAGCGUCUGCGCGCUGUUACGGGUUCGAAAUUGAGGAUGAGAGCAAAACAAUGAUAGUCCAGAAGAGGUCGUUCAAACAAUUGAUUUUAAUGAAUGCACGCUGCGUGGAGAGGCGUAAACUGCAAAACAGUUGUACAUCUCUACCCAAAAUACACUCUAGAUUGCUUUUAUAACAUCAGGGUAUUGUAACGCCCCUUCUUGCGUUUACAAGCACAUAAUUUGCAUGUACAGAACAUUCAGGUAUUUUAAGAAUUAAAUGUAACAUAGAGGUUCCUCCUUGUGGCAUACUCUUCCGAAUAUGGUGAUGACCUAAGGCCUUUGAGGUCACCAUGGGCUGGACAUCCUUCCGUCACCUGUAACUAGGCAAACUCAAAUACCACAAGAAGCUGAAUACAUUCAGGCCUUUGCUCAGCUACUAUUUUACUAUACCAAUAUACUCAGCAUAUGAGUUAUGAUACAUAUAUAUUUAACUCAAUCAUUUUAAAGUAGUUAUAACUGCACCUGUAAUAAACAUGUUAAUAUUUAAUUAUGAUAACCCCUAUACUAUAAAUUAUAACAUAAUGCCAGCAGCUUCAAUAAACACUUUGAUGAAAUGAUAAUUAAUGCAAUGAUAAGAUGAUGGUUAUGUAAAAUAAUCCAUGUAAUUCCACAGCGCAUUCCCACGGACGGCAAUCACUUUCUGGCACAACAACUGCACGGACACGGUCGGUGCUGAAAGCCGACAGCUCCCUGAUUCUGAUAUUUCGGCGGGUAGCACUUUGUGUUCACGCCCUUUUUGCACUGAUUCUAAAGCUGUUAGUUUUAUCUCUCUCCAAACAAUAUUGACCGAACCAGCAGCAAAAGAAGAUCCAAACUACGCUUCACAUAAACAUCGUCAUGAAUUCCCUCUGACUUUUACUGUUUUGCUUCACCCACGAUAAAAUCACACUUCAUGCACAGCUCUCUCUCUCUCUGUGUACUGUUUUCUGCAUUAUUCGCUUGGUUGUUACGCACAACUCUACUGUUGUUUACAGCGCUGUCGGCCGCUGUUUUUUUUUUUUUUUUUUUUCGUUUUACAUUCUUCUGAAAAGAAAACUGAAUUUCUGCCGUUCAAUACUGAACAAAUUUAAACUUUUUAAAAUUAUGCAAAACGCUUAGCCGUGUCUGUAAUAAAACCACUGUAACGUCAGAGGUAACGUUCAUAUGUUGAUUAAUGGUUUUCUUUCGUUUUUGAUGUACUGCAGAAUAUUUUUAUAAAAUCCCAGGCCAGGAAAACCACCUUCAUGUUUUUCUGUGUUUUAUCUUCAGCUACUUUGACACAAAGGCAUCUGCUGUGACGCUCACACCUUUGAUAAAGUCUUGCGUGUGUCAGCUUACUUUUUAUAGAUACAAAAAUAUGUCAAUAUACUGAUCUGAAUUAUAUUUCUGACUGUCAA
rnacentral:lncRNA from 1 species